AUGGAGAGGAGCCUGGGAGCUGUGCUGGGGCUGCUGUGGGUGCAGCUAUGCUGGACGAGAGGGAUGCAAGUGGAGCAGAGUCCUCCAGCCCUGAGUCUCCAUGAGGGAACCAGUUCUGCUCUGAGAUGCAAUUUUUCCACCACCAUGGAGAGUGUGCAGUGGUUCAGACAGAAUCCCCAGGGCAGCCUCAUCAAUCUUUUCUACCUGGCUCUGGGAACAAAGGAGAAUGGGAGGUUAAAGUCAACAUUUGAUUCUAAGGAGAGCUACAGCACCCUGCACAUCAGAGAUGCCCAGCUGGAGGACUCAGGCUCCUACCUCUGUGCUGCUGAGGCACAGUGCUCCCAGCAAGCCUGCAGCCUGGCCCCAAACUGCAGCUGGGUGUACACAGGCAGACUCCUCUCCAUAGCAGCAUUUGCACAGCUGUGGGCCUCCCUGUUUAUGCUGUAUCCCUUAUCUGUGCUGACACUAGACAGUUCAGGAUUGCUGUUACAAUUUGCAGUACCCUUUCCCUUACAGAUACCCAUUUUUAAGAACAAAUUUUCAGGAGGGUUAUUGGAAGAACUGACAAAGAUGAGAAGGUUCAGAGUGCUGUCAUAUUCGUUGGCACAGUUUUAAAUGUUCUACAGAAGGCUUUAGAGAGACACGGGGUGUACAACAAACAGAAAAGAGAUGAACCAAUGUUUUAGUCAAUUGCAGAUCUUUUGAUUAUCUAGAAGAAUGAGACUUAUUAGUUCCUGGAGAAUUCAUACAUUGUGCUUUGACUAUGCUCAG